GCUGGUUCUUUUGGACCCAUAUGCUAAGGUUAUAAGGAGUGUUAUUCCUCGUCAGGGUGGGUCUGAGAUACGUCCAAAAUAUCUUGGAGAACUAUGCCUUGAACCUGGCUAUGAUUGGAGCGGUGAUGUCCCUCCUAGCUUACCUAUGGAGAAACUAAUAAUUUACCGCAUAAAUGUGACUCAUUUUACAAAGGACAAGUCCAGUAAGCUACCUGAUAACCUUGCUGGAACAUUCUCUGGCAUUAGCGAAAAAUGGCACCAUUUGAAAGAUCUUGGUGUGAAUGCAAUGUUACUGGAGCCAAUUUUCCCUUUCGAUGAGCAGAAAGGACCCUAUUAUCCUUGGCAUUUCUUUUCACCUGGAAAUAUGUAUGGACCUUCUGGUGACCCUCUUUCUGUCAUUAAAUCUAUGAAGGAUAUGGUUAAGAAAUUACAUGCUAACGGGAUAGAGGUUUUUCUUGAAGUUGUU
rnacentral:misc_RNA from 1 species